rnacentral:rRNA from 1 species
UACGUAGGGGGCGAGCGUUGUCCGGAUUUAUUGGGCGUAAAGAGCUCGUAGGCGGUUGGGCAAGUCACGUGUGAAAUCUCCACGCUCAACGUGGAGGCGCCACGUGAGACUGCCCUGACUCGAGUCCGGUAGGGGAGCGUGGAAUUCCCGGUGUAGCGGUGAAAUGCGCAGAGAUCGGGAGGAACACCAGUGGCGAAGGCGGCCUUCUGGACCAAUACUGACGCUCAUGCACGAAAGCGUGGGGAGCAAACAGG